GACGAACGCUGGCGGCGUGCUUAACACAUGCAAGUCGAACGGUGAAGCGCCUUCCUUUUUGGUGGGUGUGGAUGAGUGGCGAACGGGUGAGUAACACGUGAGUAACCUGCCCCCUUCUUCUGGAUAACCGCAUGAAAGUGUGGCUAAUACGGGAUAUUCUGGGUCUGUCGCAUGAUGGGUCUGGGAAAGAUAUUGUUUCGGUGGGGGAUGGGCUCGCGGCCUAUCAGCUUGUUGGUGGGGUGAUGGCCUACCAAGGCGGUGACGGGUAGCCGGCCUGAGAGGGUGGACGGUCACACUGGGACUGAGACACGGCCCAGACUCCUACGGGAGGCAGCAGUGGGGAAUAUUGCACAAUGGGCGCAAGCCUGAUGCAGCGACGCCGCGUGAGGGAUGGAGGCCUGCGGGUUGUGAACCUCUUUCGCCAGUGAAGCAGGCCUGCCUCGUUUGUGGGCGGGUUGACGGUAGCUGGAGAAGAAGCGCCGGCUAACUACGUG
rnacentral:rRNA from 1 species